GCCAGGCAUGGUGGCUCAUGCCUGUAAUCCCAGCAUUUAGGAGGCAGAGGUGGGUGGAUCACCUGAGGUCAGGAAUUCAAGACCAGCCUGACCAACACGGUGAAACCCCUUCUCCA
ensembl:misc_RNA Metazoa_SRP Metazoan signal recognition particle RNA